rfam:Propionimicrobium lymphophilum ACS-093-V-SCH5 genomic scaffold aczIt-supercont-complete, whole genome shotgun sequence.
GCCCCGAUAGCUCAGGUGGUAGAGCGCAUCCUUGGUAAGGAUGAGGUCCGCAGUUCGACUCUGCGUCGGGGCU